rnacentral:misc_RNA from 1 species
AUAUUUUGAAUUAAGUAUAUUCGUAAUAUUUUUCAGACAAAGAGUUAAAGAGUUGGUUGAUGUUUGGUCGUUCCCAUAGAAGAGAACGACUGACAUUGCACACAAGGUGGAUAUGGAUUUAAAAAGUGCCAUAAAACACUUAUUAUGAAUGAUCCUUCCGCAGGUUCACCUACGGAAA